UCCGUGGUGGCUCAGGUGGUAAAGCAUCUGCCUACAAUGCAGGAGACCCAGGUUCAAUCCCUGGGUUGGGAA
rnacentral:tRNA from 1 species